rnacentral:misc_RNA from 1 species
AAGUCGUAACAAGGUUUCCGUAGGUGAACCUGCGGAAGGAUCAUUAUCCUUUAGCUUGUGCGAGACGCUCUUAUAGCUCUUGUCACUCGAGCUCACAACGCUCUUAUUGCGCGGUAGCCGGCUCUUAACGGAGUCGACUGCCAACCAAACCCCAAAUCCACAGUAGGCUCACUUGCUACUGCGGUCAGGUACCUAUCAGCUGAAGCGAUUCUCUCGGGAGUCGUGUUGGCGUAAAGAUUACAGCACCUCACGUGCAGUAACGCCUGUUUAGCUUACAAGUUUUCUCACCUUUAAAUUGCAUAUUCUUAGAGUUGUGAUUGUGAUAAAGUCUAAUCUAAUUAGAUGAUUUAACACAUUAACAACCCUAUGCGGUGGAUCACUUGGCUC